CCCCCUCACAUUGCUAUCCUUAUGUUGCGCUUCUUUAUCGAGUCACGUGUCCUAUUCCACUUGUUACCAUAAUAAUCCUAUAUGCAUCAUUCCUUACCCAUAGCUGUUGCUUGAUGUUUGAGCAUUGCAAGUCGUAGGCGUGUUUAGGCUCUGUUGUUUAUCUCGAUCUGUUAUCGGGAUAUGUUGGGUUGUUGGGAGGUUAUCACAUGCUAUAUCAGUUGUUGGAGAUACUCAUGCUUUACUUAAUUGUUAACAACUAAAAUUGUAAGCAGAGGCAUCUGUGAGCCCCUUUGCGAAAGCAUCGGAACUUUGACUUGCUAAUGUCCCCUAGGACCCGAGUUCUUGUUAUCUGUUCCGAGAUUGAGCGCUCUACCCGUACGUGGGGGAUGGGACCCCCAUCACCCACUACCUUUCCUCGAGUCUGUUUAUUGGGAGCCACAACCUUGGUUUUAUUUGCCCAUAUGCACGAUAUGCACGAUUUACUUCCUGUUGCCUUCGGGUGUUUAUUUCUGUACUGUACUCAUAACGCGGAUAGACUUAUCUUGUGCCUGGUCGUAAGUGCCCGCCUGGACUAUGUCGCAAACCUCUGGGUCCGUAUCGGAGUACGGCCGAACUUCGUCACGGGUAGCUUAGUUGGGUGGCUCCCAUUAAACUUUCUCUUGCAUUGGGAACGGUCUUGAUGUGAGACUCCACCUGUAGUAAGUGGGUUCGAGCAUGCGUAUGGUUACAUUUGGGCAACCCCUGCAGGGUGUACAUCUUAUCGAUAAGCCGUGUCCGCGGUUAUGGACGACUUGGAAUUGUAUAGCUUGAUCAUAGAACAACUUACACCUUAUACUUGUUGUUAAUAAUCUGAUAAUAACUUGCGUAGUAAUAUAGCAUUACUACAACCGAUACCUAAUAAAACUUGUCCACCGUUGAGUGCAUUUUACAUUGCCUCUUCGCAACUGUUGGAGGGGUUAUGUGUAAUCGGCUGGGUUAUGUUUGUGUAGUAUUUUAUCUGUCACCUUGUGCGCUCUCUUAUCUUAUCUGAUUAGACGGAUGUUGUAGCGUGUCUCUAUUGGUUAUAGUUAUGCUGCCGCUAAACCUACCAUAUAGCCCCCGGCGAUAUAUAUAUUAUACUCGCCCGGCGAGCAUAGCCAUUUCUAGUCUCGCUAAGUACGUGCCGGAGUUCGUUCCUUGGUACUUACUCUCGUCUUUUCCCCUUUCUCUUUUGCUUCCUCCCUCUUGUCGGCAACCGAUGGCCCGACUUUGACAGGUACAAGAUGACGACAUUAGCAAGGUUACCCUUCCGGCUUGGCCUGGGCAGGGUUAUGGACGCCACUGGUUAUCUUCAGGACUCUUAGUCCAAUUUGUAUCUUGUCCGUACUCGGACGUAUUUGAUCUUAUGUAUGAUUUGGAUCUUUGUAUUGUAUAUUUGUAUCUUGACUCGUUGGAGUCAUUGUUGUAAUAUAUGUAUCUUGUGGGCUC